CUCUUUUUGAUAAUAAUUUAAAGUUUAAUCUGCUCAAUGAAAAUUAAAUUGCUGCAGUAUUUUGACUGUACAAAGGUAGCAUAAUAAUUAGUUUUUUAAUUGAAAACUGGAAUGAAUGAUUGGACGAGAAAAUUUCUGUCUUUUUAUUAUUUUUAUUGAAUUUUACUUUUAAGUUAAAAGGCUUAAAUUUUUUUAAAAGACGAGAAGACCCUAUAGAGUUUAAUUUUUAAUUUAUUUAUUAUUAUUAGAAUUUAAUUUAUUAGUUAAGUUAAGAAUUUGGUUGGGGUGACUAUUAGAUUAAUUUAACUCUUUUAAUUUUUAAUCAAUUAUUUUUGAUUAUAAAAUCUAUAUUUUUAAUUUUAAAAUAAAUUACCUUAGGGAUAACAGCGUAAUUUUUCUUUAAAGUUCUUAUUAAAAGAAGAGUUUGCGACCUCGAUGUUGGAUUAAAAUUUAUUUUAGGUGUAGAAGCUUAAAUAUUAAGUCUGUUCGACUUUUAAAAU
rnacentral:rRNA from 1 species